rnacentral:rRNA from 1 species
UACGGGGGGAGCAAGCGUUGUUCGGAUUUACUGGGCGUAAAGGGCGCGCAGGCGGCCGCUCAAGUCAGAUGUGAAAGCCCCGGGCUCAACCUGGGAACUGCAUUUGAUACUGAGUGGCUAGAGUUCGGGAGAGGAGAGUGGAAUUCCCAGUGUAGAGGUGAAAUUCGUAGAUAUUGGGAAGAACACCGGUGGCGAAGGCGGCUCUCUGGACCGAUACUGACGCUGAGGCGCGAAAGCGUGGGGAGCAAACAGG